rnacentral:rRNA from 1 species
GAGCGGUGAAAUGCGUAGAUAUCUGGAGGAACACCGGUGGCGAAGGCGGCUCUCUGGUCCACAACUGACGCUGAGGUGCGAAAGCUAGGGGAGCAAACGGGAUUAGAUACCCCGGUAGUCCACGCCGUAAACGUUGUGCACUAGGUGCAGGAGGUAUCGACCCCUUCUGUGCCGCAGCUAACGCAUUAAGUGCACCGCCUGGGGAGU